UCGCCAUAUUGAGUACUACAGCAUGACGGAUUUUAAGGUUGGUUCCCAGUCUACUGGUAGUUUUGAAAGUACAGGAAGUUCUGCAUUUGCGGAUGCACUUCAGAGAGCUCGCCAAAUAGCAGCAAAGUUUACUCCCAGUGGUGGAGAUAAUAACAGUGCUGCUACUGGAACCAAGCGUCCUUUAGAAAACAAUAUGGACCCUGUUACAGAUGGUGCACCUGAUCCGAAAAAGCCUGCUGCUGUGAAUGAUCCAUUUGGUGCUCAAUUAGCAGCAAUGAAACAGCAGAUUAGUAACACUGCAUCAUCAGAUUCAACCACAAUUAUGAAUGAAGAAUACAAAGUUCCAGAUAGAUUAGUCGGUUUAAUUAUUGGACGAGGUGGAGAGCAGAUCAUGAGGUUGCAAGCUGAAUCAGGUUGUAAAAUUCAAUUAUCUUCAGAGAGUGAAGGAAAGUUGGAGAGGACUUGUGUAUUGACUGGCACUAAACAAGCUGUAGAAAAAGUUAAAGAAAUGUUAGACCAAAUUCUCAAAAGAGUAGAUAUCCAAGGACAACCAGAUGAAGGACAGAUAGUAGUAGAUAUGAUGAUCCCAGGAAACAAAGUUGGCUUAGUUAUUGGCAAAGGUGGAGAAACUAUUAGACAGUUACAGGAACAAACUGGAGCUAAAAUGAUUAUGAUUCAAGAUGGACCUCAACAAACAAUUCAUGACAAACCACUUAGGAUCACAGGAUCACCAUCUCAGUGUGAGUUUGCCAAACAACAAGUAAUGCAGUUGAUAGCAGGGAAAGAUCAAGAUGUCAGUACUCCACGGAAUGGAGAUUACCAAUAUGGAUCAGGUGCUCAAGAGCAAGUUAUGGUGCCUAAACAAGCUGUUGGAGUUGUAAUUGGGAAGAGUGGAGAAACUAUAAAGAGAAUCCAACAGGACUCUGGAGGAGCAAAGAUACAAUUUCACUUGGCAAAGGAAGAUACUCCAGGAGAGAAGUUGUGUAUGGUCACUGGAAACCCUGAGCAGGUUCAGAAGGCUGUGGAAAUCAUUCAUGAAUUGAUACAUAGUGUGAUGGUGAGAGACCAACAAUUCAUGGGAAGAGGUCGUGGACGGGGUCGUGGGUUUGAUGGUCCAGGAGGUGGUCCUAGGUUUGGACCUCCAGGUGGCCCUGGUAUGGGACGUGGAAGACCAGAUGGAGAUUUUCAGGAAGUUCAAUAUACAGUUCCAGCAAAUAAAUGUGGUCUUGUUAUAGGCAAAGGUGGGGAGACAAUUCGAAACAUCAGCCAGCAGUCUGGUGCUCAUGUGGAAUUAUCAAGAGCACCUCAACCUAAUAUUCACGAGAAAGUUUUUAUCAUUAGAGGAGCUGCACCACAGAUUGAGCAAGCUCAGCAUCUGAUCAAUGAAAAGAUUGACAUGCGUCCUUCACCUGGACAGAAUGGACCACCUCCAUAUCCUUCUUCACAAUAUCCCCAGCCAUAUCAGCAAAACCAACAGUCCUCCCAGCCAUAUGCUCCACAAGGAUGGGGUAAUUCUUACCAACAGUGGCAAAAUCAGCCUAAUGAUCCAAAUAAAGAUGCUAAUGCUGCUGCUUGGGCUGCUUAUUAUGCCCAAUACUACAACCAACAGGCACAACAUCAAACCCAGCAGCCAACACAAGCUCAGCAGCCAAAUCAGCAGAGUACUCAGCCACAUCAAACUACACAUACUAUAACAGCUGCAGGUGGCCAAGCAGACUACAGUGCUGCAUGGAUAGAGUAUUAUCGCUCAUUGGGUAUGCAUCGAGAAGCUGAUAUGAUAGAGCAACAGACAAGAGGAAAUCAACAGGUUUCCAAUAAGAAGAAACAUUAAUAGCAUCUCAACUGUACAUCUUGUGAGUACUCCACUGCCAAUGAGGCCUUUCGCUCAAUACCCGACAUACUUCAGUUGUGCCCUAUAAAUCACUCAGUUAUCCAGCAGUAUGGACAAGAAACUUCUGAGCAGUAUGGCCAGCAGCCUCAACCAACAGCAGCUACACAUCAAGGUCAAGGACAAGUACCUGCAACACAGGCUUCUCAGAACCAUCCUACUGGUGUAACAACUCC
rnacentral:misc_RNA from 1 species